UAUUGGGCUAGACCGGGGAGUUAGCGGUUCCUUGUAACCAGAAAUCCGCUAUACGCUGGGGUUGAAUGCUAGGAAGAGGAUUUGUUUUGUAAUGCAAAUCUAUUGUAUUGCAAUGAAAUUCUGUUCUAAUAGACCUUCUUUAUAGAAGAACCCCGCCAGGUUCGGAAGAAAGCAACGGUAGUCUAUGAUUCAGGUGCUGUUGGAGUACGGAAUCAAGCAAUGCUUUAGGCUAAAUUUGCCUUGCUAAACUUAUUCGAUUUCUAGAUGCCCAUUC
rnacentral:SRP_RNA from 1 species